rnacentral:rRNA from 1 species
GACGAACGCUGGCGGCGUGCCUAAUACAUGCAAGUAGAACGCUGAAGAGAGGAGCUUACUCUUCUUGGAUGAGUUGCGAACGGGUGAGUAACGCGUAGGUAACCUGCCUUGUAGCGGGGGAUAACUAUUGGAAACGAUAGCUAAUACCGCAUAACAAUGGAUGACACAUGUCAUUUAUUUGAAAGGGGCAAUUGCUCCACUACAAGAUGGACCUGCGUUGUAUUAGCUAGUAGGUGAGGUAAUGGCUCACCUAGGCGACGAUACAUAGCCGACCUGAGAGGGUGAUCGGCCACACUGGGACUGAGACACGGCCCAGACUCCUACGGGAGGCAGCAGUAGGGAAGCUUCGGCAAUGGGGGCAACCCUGACCGAGCAACGCCGCGUGAGUGAAGAAGGGUUUCGGAUCGUAAAGCUCUGUUGUAAGUCAAGAACGGGUGUGAGAGUGGAAAGUUCACACUGUGACGGUAGCUUACCAGAAAGGGACGGCUAACUACGUG